GACGAACGCUGGCGGCGUGCCUAAUACAUGCAAGUCAACGACUUUUAGAGUAGCAAUAUUCUAAAGGAAGUGGCGCACGGUGAGUAACACGUAGGUAAUCUGCCUUCAGGACUGACACAACUCGUCGAAAGACGGGCUAAUAUCAGAUAAUGCAGCGGCUCCGCAUGGAGACAGUUGUUAAAGUACAAGCGCCUGAAGAUGAGCCCUGCGGUCCAUUAGCUAGUUGGUAGAGUAAAAGCCUACCAAGGCAACGAUGGAUAGCUGGUCUGAGAGGAUGAUCAGCCACACUGGAACUGAGACACGGUCCAGACUCCUACGGGAGGCAGCAGUAAGGAAUAUUGCUCAAUGGCCGAAAGGCUGAAGCAGCAAACGCCGCGUGAAGGAGUGAAUGGCC
rnacentral:rRNA from 1 species